AUGCCCUUUGGGUAGACCACAUGCUUCAUGACAUUCUCUUUUUUAAAUCAGGAGCAAGCAGCACCACUUGUACUUGAACCAUUAUCUCCGAGAGCCGAGCAACAUUCUUCACGAAGAUAAUCAUCCAAGAGAUUGAAUAUCGAAUUGAGAAUCACAGGGUGCAGAAUAUAAAUUAUGGAUCCAGAGAGAGAAUUCAACUUUUCCUCUUGUAAUAAAGCAUGAAGGUGCCUAUUGACACAGGAAAUCACAGCCUAGGGACAAGAAAAAUACAGACAAUUCAAGCAAAAGACCUUCACCAGUCAGGCAGAAGCUGAGUUCUCUAGGUGACUCAAGCUCCAAACCUGUUGGUUUCCACCAGUGUGGUACCUCUCAGUGUUCAUUUGGCAUCAUGAGACCACACUUGCUGGACAAAGCAGGCUGCUAUUAGAAAUGUUGGAUUUCUUCCUGAAAUAACCACAUCCUCAAAAGCAAAGAAAAUACUGGUAAUGGAUUUUUUUGUAAUGGACAAGGUUUUUUUAAA